rnacentral:tRNA from 1 species
UUAUUAUUAUAUACACAAGAAAUUGUAAAUUUAGAGUUGCUGUAAGCUUCAGCCUAAUAGC